UACAGAGGUGGCAAGCGUUGUUCGGAAUUACUGGGCGUAAAGGGCGCGUAGGCGGCCAUCUAAGUCAGACGUGAAAUCCCCCGGCUUAACCUGGGAACUGCGUCUGAUACUGGACGGCUGGAGUUUGGGAGAGGGAUGUAGAAUUCCAGGUGUAGCGGUGAAAUGCGUAGAUAUCUGGAGGAAUACCGGUGGCGAAGGCGGCAUCCUGGACCAAUACUGACACUGAGGAGCGAAAGCCAGGGGAGCAAACGGG
rnacentral:rRNA from 1 species